rnacentral:lncRNA from 1 species
UCUCAUUGCUAGAACUUCGUUUCCUUGUUCAUUAAAAAGCUCAGCUAUGUGAAUUAAUUUUACUGCAGGGUGUAAGGGCGAGAACAAGUUUGAAAUUUGAUACUGAAAAGGAGGUGUUUGAUUUCCUGGGAUUUCCUUGGCUAGAACCUCAUGAAAGAAAUUUGUGAAACAUGUGCAGUGUGUUUAGCAGUAAGAUGAUGCUGUAGAUAGGCACGCAUCAAAGGGCAGGCUGUACUUAGGAGGCUGUCAACAGACAUAUGUUUGGUACUAAUUAUACCGUAAAGUGUGCUGGUGGUCAUGGUGACAGGCCUUGCGUUUGAUGCUCGACUUAAGUUAUCAGACUUGAUGUUUUUGAAUGUAUAUAUUUUUGGUGUAAAAAUUCUGUGUUCUUAUAAAAUUUUUAUCCUAAACAUUUCUCUGUGUAAUUUAAAUUACUUUACUGCAGAUUUAGGAAUAUUAGAAAAUUUUACUGACGUUCUUGCCUUUUCGGGGAUGGUUCUGUUUGAAUGAUCGAAGCUUUUAGCACUAUAUGUAUGUAUAUUUAUCUAUUUUGAUUUUUGGGAUUUGAAAGGUAAAUUUUAGUUGCUCAUAUAUUGAAAGUAAACAACAAGCUUGACUUAUGCAGCAUUUUUUCCCCCUACUAACUUAUUUGAUUUUUUCAUUUUAUUAUUAUUAUUUUUAUUUUAGAGAAAGCGGAUUCUUUUAUGUUGAUUAAGAAAGCUUCGUGUUAAAUUAAAUAAAUUUUGAUGGUCAUUAUUAAUUAAUUAAGUUAUUUAUUUAUUUUUAGAGAAAGAGGAUUCUUCUAUGUUGAUUAAGAAAAUGUCGUUUUAAAUUAAACAAAUUUUGAUGGUCAGAUUUUACCACAGUAACUUUGGUGCAGCGAAUGUCUACGUUGAAAACAGACGAGGGUUUUUAUUGGUAAAUAUAUGACUCGAUUCUUCCAUAUCUGGUUUGGACCUCUUUUGUGCACCAGAAGAAGAUUAGAAAUGAGGAACAUCAAAUUUUGUAGAUGUCUCAUCAUAUAUUCUACUUGUGGUUAAAAGUUAAUUGUCUGCUGUACGGCCAAGGCGGAUGUACGGUACAGCAGAGAAUUUUUGUAAGAGAAGUAGAACCAAUAUGUAGACUAACAAUAGAUGGUCUGCAGUUUAUCCGUGGUAUAUUUUCCUGGAUGAGGAAUUUCCAUCUUAAACAUUGCCAUACAUUUUCAAUUGUUGCAGGUUGAGAUUACUAGCAGAAUCCAAAGGAUACCGACUUGAUGAUACAGGGCUGUUUCCAGCUACUUAUGGCUCAGGCGGUAAACAGGUUAUCAGCUGGAUUUCAGAAUCAUCUCAUUGCUAGAACUUCGUUUCCUUGUUCAUUAAAAAGCUCAGCUAUGUGAAUUAAUUUUACUGCAGGGUGUAAGGGCGAGAACAAGUUUGAAAUUUGAUACUGAAAAGGAGGUGUUUGAUUUCCUGGGAUUUCCUUGGCUAGAACCUCAUGAAAGAAAUUUGUGAAACAUGUGCAGUGUGUUUAGCAGUAAGAUGAUGCUGUAGAUAGGCACGCAUCAAAGGGCAGGCUGUACUUAGGAGGCUGUCAACAGACAUAUGUUUGGUACUAAUUAUACCGUAAAGUGUGCUGGUGG